UACGAAGGGAGCUAGCGUUGUUCGGAAUUAUUGGGCGUAAAGCGCGCGCAGGCGGCUAUGUAAGUCUGAUGUUAAAGCCCGAGGCUCAACCUCGGUUCGCAUUGGAAACUGUGUAGCUUGAGUGCAGAAGAGGAAAGCGGUAUUCCACGUGUAGCGGUGAAAUGCGUAGAGAUGUGGAGGAACACCAGUGGCGAAGGCGGCUUUCUGGUCUGUAACUGACGCUGAGGCGCGAAAGCGUGGGGAGCAAACAGG
rnacentral:rRNA from 1 species